GACGAACGCUGGCGGCGUGCCUAAUACAUGCAAGUAGAACGCGGAAGGAGGAGCUUGCUUCUCUGGAUGAGUUGCGAACGGGUGAGUAACGCGUAGGUAACCUGCCUGGUAGCGGGGGAUAACUAUUGGAAACGAUAGCUAAUACCGCAUAAUAUUGACUAUUGCAUGAUAGUCAGUUGAAAGGUGCAACUGCACCACUACCAGAUGGACCUGCGUUGUAUUAGCUAGUUGGUGGGGUAACGGCUCACCAAGGCGACGAUACAUAGCCGACCUGAGAGGGUGAUCGGCCACACUGGGACUGAGACACGGCCCAGACUCCUACGGGAGGCAGCAGUAGGGAAUCUUCGGCAAUGGACGGAAGUCUGACCGAGCAACGCCGCGUGAGUGAAGAAGGUUGUCGGAUCGUAAAGCUCUGUUGUAAGAGAAGAACGAGUGUGAGAGUGGAAAGCUCACACUGUGACGGUAUCUGACCAGAAAGGGACGGCUAACUACGUG
rnacentral:rRNA from 1 species